CUACGGGCCGCUGCAGUGAGGAAUAUUGCACAAUGGGGGAAACCCUGAUGCAGCAACGCCGCGUGGAGGAUGACGCAUUUCGGUGUGUAAACUCCUUUUAUCAGAGAAGAAAAUGACGGUAUCUGAUGAAUAAGCUCCGGCUAACUCCGUGCCAGCAGCCGCGGUAAUACGGAGGGAGCAAGCGUUAUUCGGAAUCACUGGGCGUAAAGGACGCGUAGGCGGGUUUUUAAGUCAGGUGUGAAAUCCUAUGGCUCAACCAUAGAACUGCACUUGAAACUGGGGACCUAGAGUAUGGAAGGGGCAGGUGGAAUUAGUGGUGUAGGGGUAAAAUCCGUAGAUAUCACUAGGAAUACCGAAAGCGAAGGCGACCUGCUGGGACAUUACUGACGCUGAGGCGUGAAAGCGUGGGGAGCAAACAGGAUUAGAUACCCCCGUAGUC
rnacentral:rRNA from 1 species